rnacentral:sRNA from 1 species
CAUGACCCUCUGUUUACAGGGCCGACCCUGCGCUGGGCAGGAGAUUUUUUUGCGCUUCUUGCUUUCAGUCAGUUUACUUACUACAAGUAAUGGGUACUAUGUACGCCGGCCAGUUUCUCAUUUUUGAGAGA